UUAAAUUGAAGAGUUUGAUCAUGGCUCAGAUUGAACGCUGGCGGCAGGCCUAACACAUGCAAGUCGAACGGUAACAGGAAGCAGCUUGCUGCUUUGCUGA
rnacentral:rRNA from 19 species